GGGGAAAUGGUCCAGCCUGGUCUAAGAUACCGGCUUCGGGAGUCGGUGACCCGUGUUCAAAUCACGGUUUCCCCA
rnacentral:tRNA from 1 species